CUACCGUUCUCUCUCCUUGCUUAGAUUGAAAUGAGUUGAUGAGAUGCCAGCCAAAGGAAAAGUAAACCUCAAGUCACAUCUAGGUUUAUGUGUGAAGGAGAGAGUUAAGAGAGCUUGAAACCUGCAUACAGAGAAACUGAGUUUCAAAGAUGAAUAUAUACACUGGGGAUCAUGGAAUGAACUAGAAGAAUCUGUUUUCUUGUUCUGAAGUUGGUGAAAUGCACUGUUCAUGUAUCCAGAUGCAAGAGUCCCAAGACUGAAGUUGCCAAGAACAAAAAGGAGGAUGAACAAAUGAACUGCCAAAUAAUACUGAGA